GAGUGAAGAGUCUUACAAGGACAUCAUCUUGAUCAUGCAGCUCUCGAGAGAUAACCUCACCCUCUAGACCUCUGAUUCGCAGAGCCAAUAAACAUAUUUCAUGGGAGCCGCCCCUGAAUCGCUUACAGUGAUUUGCCCGGUUGAUGAAAAAUCCCAGAUGUACCACUUCUAAGGCCCUGGACUUUUACUACGCUUUGGGCACCCAAACUGGUUGAGCCGCCCCUGAAUCGUUUAUAGGCUGUAAUGAAGGUUCUACCAGAACUAAAUGGAAAACUGACAGGUGUGGCCUUUAACUUGUCAACUUGAGAAGAAGGCUUCUUAUGAAAAUGUUAAAGCUGCAGUCAAGUAUGCACUAUAAAACGGGUCGGUUUCAAGCAACAUAUGAUAUCAAUGACAUAAACAAAGGAGCUGUGCUGAUAUUUAUUUAGCGAUGAAGCUUAAAAUUAGACAAUGUAUGCAUUAAAAGCACCAUGACACAGAUCUGUGUACUUUAUAAUAUAUAUUUGCAUAACUUGAGAGUUUACAUCGACACAAUUGGUAGACACAUCUAGCUGUGCUUUGUAAGUCCAUCUUCAAUAAUUGUCUUUUCGGGGACAUGGAGAUGUCCCGUAAGUCGGUGUUUUUGCCCAAUUCUAGAUGUUAGUGGAUGGUAUCUUGACAGUUGGCUAAA
rnacentral:lncRNA from 1 species